AAAAUUUUAGUUUAAUAAAUUUAAAAAUGAUUCAUUUACAUUGAAUAGAUUAAUUAUAUAUUAAAAUUUUA
rnacentral:tRNA from 1 species